GGAAUUAAAGGACCAAAAUCUUGUCUAUAUAGUAGCCUAAUACAAGGUGUUUAAUCUCUCCUUCUUGUUCAUUGGCUUUUAUAUUCAAACAGACUCUUCAUAAAUGAAAUGUAUUACAAGGCUUUCUUUGUUUUCUGUGAAGGAUUUUUAUGCUGAAUUUGGUAAAACUACAUUGGAUGUCACCUAAAUGUUGCUAAUGUAACCACGAUGAACUGUGACCAUCUGCAGUGGUGAAUGUGACAAAUGCCCAGUACUUGGAGAGAACACACCAGGAAAUGAAACGGCCACGGGCAGCAGAAAUAACUAAACGGAGACUCCAGACUGGAGGAAGAGGAGAUGAUGAUGGUCCUGCACUACAGGCAGUCCUUAAUGCUAAUAUCGGCUCUCAAUAAGGCCAGGUGGCUACUGAGCUAGUGGUGUCCUGGAAGUCUGAUUUGGAAAGGUACCAGAGAAUGGCUUAUGAAGGAAGAACUACGAGAGAAGGCUUCUGAGCUGCACUAGAUGGCACUGGAACACAGAAAAACAGAGAGAGGUAAGUAAAGAAUUUAUAGAUAUCUAUUUUUUCACCUGAUUUUUUUUUUU